AAAGCAUUAUUUUUAAUGUAAGAGCUGCUUUCUACUUCACUUCUGAGGAAAGUAACAGAGUAAGCAAAAACGAUGCUUCACAUUUGCAGAGACAAAAACAGAUUUGGAAUUAAGACAGCCAGUGCUUCCUGGCAUCAGUGUUGGCUUUGUCUAUAGACAGAGAGAAAACAUGCUACAAUGCCAACUCCAAUAUGAAGUUAUAAAGUUAAUUUUAUAUGUAUCUUAACUUUCUCCAAACUCAAGGGUAAAGCCCAAAUUGACUUCACUGGAGUAAGGAUGAAUAAUCAUAGAAUCUUUAAGGUUGGAAAACACCACUAAGAUCAUCUAGUCCAACCAUCAAACUAUCACCACCAUGCUUACUAAACCACAUCCACAAUGACAUAUGAUAGUUUUCUUGAGAAAAGAGGACUGGAACAAUACCUAGACAUGGCUGUUGUAAGCACACAAUUGGGUCUGGACAAAGAUCAGCAAAAUACAUCGCUGCUUCACCACUGGCAGGAGGAUUGCUAUUCAGCAGGAUGCUCACAGCAUCUGGCUUAGUGAGAUGAUUUAGUUCUGAACUAGGAUGCACCGAACAACCCCCUGAAGGACUGUGUAUUCCUCCACUGACUACAUAAGGAGCCCAAGGAAACAAUCUUUAAAUUCUAAUAAAAAAAUCUGGAAAAUGGAAAAUUAAGCUGCACCCCACUUCUCCUUCAGAGGUUCAGCUCUUCUCUUUCUUCCUUCACUGCAGCAGGGAGACAGAAUAAUACACCCUUGUUUUUCAUGGCACAGCAAAUGCUUCUUGAGUCAGUAGCAUUUUACCAACUAGCACAUGCAAAGGAUAUGUCCAGUCUACUUCUUUCACCAAGUUUGUGGGAAAAAUAUAGCAUUUCUUCAGGAUAUCAUAUUAAAACUUGUGUAUGACCACCUGGUGCAAGGCAAUAUUACGCAGAUUACAUAAUAGAAGACGACUUUAAAAAAUGGUGCUUAGCUUUUUCUUUUAGAAAUUUGCCAGCAUUGUUGUUGAUGUGAUUUUGUUCAAUUUUUUUCAGAAUGUGAUUAAAAAUGAACAAACCUUUUACACAGAUGAUUAUUCAGCAUUUUAUGUAUAUAUUGGACAAGAAUGUAUUACAAUUUAACUCAUUUUAGAAAAUGCAGAGGUGGGCAAAUUCUUAAUUUAAUGAACAUCUCAACAUUUGAUAUUGUAAAAUACUCUUAAACAGAACAUAUACUCAAAAAGAUCUUAGGGUGACAUCACAUUUAAAUAAAGCCCAGCUAUGAGAAUAUCAUGUUUUCUUCAGAAAAAUUUUGUAUCUUAGAAAACAAUGAACAACUGUUGGAAUAUUUGGAAAUGCUCAAAAAUAUUUGUCAUAUUUUAUAUAAUCUUUUUUGAGCCUUCAGAUCCCUGAAAAUGUGUAUUCAUUGUUGCUUGAAAUUUUCACAAAUGUCUUAUUUCAUGAGUACAGUGGCCCUCAGAUAUAACCCUCAUCUUAUAAGGAAGACAGAAUCAUGAAGGAGGGUUUUACAAUCUCUAAGUAAUUUAUAGAUUUCAAUGAUAUCAGGCAUGUAAAACCCUAUAUCUGGGAUAUAGGCUAUUUAUUUGUGCUGUCAGAAAGACAUAGUUAUAUAGCUUUCUCAAGCCUAGGAUAAAUCCAAACUUCACAUGUGAUCCUAAGAUAUUAUACAUCUCCAAAACUUUUAACUUUGAUUUAUUCCUUCAAAUUUUUUUAUUUUUUUUUAAAGAGGGAAUGAGAGAGAGCAAGAGAAUACUGAGAAGACACUUGGUGGGCAAUUAUACAGGAGGAAUCAUUUCCCUUUCAAGCUAUAAGUUGUUUUUCAUUUGACAUACAUUUUCUAGUGUUGGUUAAUGAAAACAAACAAGAAAUAUUGAAGUUAAAUUCAGCAAAAAAAUUAUUAGCCUCAUGAUAUGUUAACAACACAACUAUUUCCAUUACUUUUUCUGGUGGAUUUACUAUAUUUUGUGAACACCACUGUUAUUCUUUGUAUUAGGAAAGGAAUGUCUUAUUGCUAUUUGAGUUGUCUGGGAUAAAAGAAAGUUUGGACAAAAGCUUUUUGUUAUGCUGUAUUUUGUGAAGUGUGUACAUGUAAAACAUUGUCAAAUCUAAAACUUUGUGUAUUUUUUACAUAUUUU
ensembl:lncRNA